GUAGUCAUAUGCUUGUCUCGCAGAUUAAGCCAUGCAUGUCUAAGUGUAAAUAUUAAACAGUGAAACUGCGAAUGGCUCAUUAAAACAGUUAUUGUUUGGUUGGAGUAUUAUCCAUCGGAUAUCCGUGGAAAUGCUACAGUUAAUACGUACAAUCUUAUUUAUAAGAGUUACAUAUUAAAUUGAAUAGGUAGUGUGAAAGCACUAAAAUUGAAUACUUAUAUGAACAGAUCGUUUCUAACGAAAAUCCAUCAAAGUUUCUGACCUAUCAGGUUCCGACGGUUGGGUAUUGGCCAACCGUGCCUAUAACGGGUAACGGGGGAUUAGGGUUUGAUUCCGGAGAGGAAGCUUGAGAUAUAGCUACCACAUCUAAGGAAGGCAGCAGGCGCGCAAAUUACCAAUCCUCGACACGGGGAGGUAGUAAACAGAAAUACUAACGUUCGAUUAUAUCGUACGAUUAGAAAGAGUGGUAUUUAAAACACACCAUGAAUACAAUUGGAGGGCAAGUCUGGUGCCAGCAGCCGCGGUAAUACCAGCUCCAAUAGCGUAUAUUAUUGAUGUUGCAGUUAAAACGUUCGUAGUCGAAUUUUGUCUGUUUAUUUAGAGAUGGUCAAUUUGACAAUCACUGAAAGAACCGGAUACAGUAUAGGAUUUUUACUUCGGUAGUAUUCUAUACCUUACUUUGAGUGAAUCAGCGUGUUCAACGCAGGCAAGUGUCUUGAAUGAUUUACCAUAGAAUAAAAAUAUUUUUUCAAUGUCUUUAUACUUAUUCGAAGCCAUUGUUUAUACAUAUAAGAACGGUUGAGGGCAUUCAUAUUCAACUGCUAGAGGUGAAAUUCUUUGAUUAGUUGAGGAUGAACAAUUGCGAAAGCAUCUGCCAAGGACGUUUCUUUUGAUCAAGAACGAAAGUUAGGUGAUCGAAGAUGAUUAGAUACCGUCGUAGUCCUAACUGUAAACUUUGCUAACCAAGUAUUGGAUGGGCAAUUUUUUUCUUCUUCAGUACUUUUUGAGAAAUCAUAAGUCUUUGAGUUCUGGGGGGAGUAUAGUUGCAAGGCCGAAACUUAAAGGAAUUGACGGAAG
rnacentral:rRNA from 1 species